AUUGAACGCUGGCGGCAGGCUUAACACAUGCAAGUCGAGCGGAGAUGAGGUGCUUGCGCCUUAUCUUAGCGGCGGACGGGUGAGUAAUGCUUAGGAAUCUGCCUAUUAGUGGGGGACAACAUUCCGAAAGGAAUGCUAAUACCGCAUACGCCCUACGGGGGAAAGCAGGGGAUCUUCGGACCUUGCGCUAAUAGAUGAGCCUAAGUCGGAUUAGCUAGUUGGUGGGGUAAAGGCCUACCAAGGCGACGAUCUGUAGCGGGUCUGAGAGGAUGGUCCGCCACACUGGGACUGAGACACGGCCCGGACUCCUACGGGAGGCAGCAGUGGGGAAUAUUGGACAAUGGGGGGAACCCUGAUCCAGCCAUGCCGCGUGUGUGAAGAAGGCCUUAUGGUUGUAAAGCACUUUAAGCGAGGAGGAGGCUACUGAGACUAAUACUCUUGGAUAGUGGACGUUACUCGCAGAAUAAGCACCGGCUAACUCUGUGCCAGCAGCCGCCGUAAGAC
rnacentral:rRNA from 1 species